rnacentral:rRNA from 1 species
UACGGAGGGUGCAAGCGUUAAUCGGAAUUACUGGGCGUAAAGCGCACGCAGGUGGCUGAGUCAGUCGAUUGUGAAAGCCCUGGGCUUAACCUGGGAAUUGCAGUCGAUACUACUCAGCUAGAGUAUGGGAGAGGGCAGUGGAAUUCCCGGUGUAGCCGGUGAAAUGCGUAGAGAUGCGGAGGAACACCAGUGGCGAAAGCGACUUUCUGGUCCUUAACUGACGCUGAGGCGCGAAAGCAUGGGGAGCGAACGGGGAUUAGAACCCUGGUAA